rnacentral:pre_miRNA from 1 species
AGGCCGUGUCAGGUGCACUUUGUAAUAUUCGCUCAAAUUGCACUUGUCCCGGCCUGC